rnacentral:rRNA from 1 species
GACGAACGCUGGCGGCGUGCUUAACACAUGCAAGUCGAACGGAAAGGCCCUGCUUUUGUGGGGUGCUCGAGUGGCGAACGGGUGAGUAACACGUGAGUAACCUGCCCUUGACUUUGGGAUAACUUCAGGAAACUGGGGCUAAUACCGGAUAGGAGCUCCUGCUGCAUGGUGGGGGUUGGAAAGUUUCGGCGGUUGGGGAUGGACUCGCGGCUUAUCAGCUUGUGGGUGGGGUAGUGGCUUACCAAGGCUUUGACGGGUAGCCGGCCUGAGAGGGUGACCGGCCACAUUGGGCCUGAGAUACGGCCCAGACUCCUACGGGAGGCAGCAGUGGGGAAUAUUGCACAAUGGGCGGAAGCCUGAUGCAGCAACGCCGCGUGCGGGAUGACGGCCUUCGGGUUGUAAACCGCUUUCGCCUGUGACGAAGCGUGAGUGACGGUAAUGGGUAAAGAAGCACCGGCUAACUACGUG